UGGCAGAUUAUAUGUAAUGGAUUUAAACCCCAUUUAUAAAGGAUUAUCCUUUUUUUAGAA
rnacentral:tRNA from 1 species